UUUAUUUAAAGCUAUACAAGCGAUCACAAGAAGGGCUCUCAAAAGAAAUCUGACCUCUACAAGUUUACAAGCAUAUUUAUACUUUAGACAGCGAGAAAAGAUGCAGGGUUCAGACAAAGCAACCUUGAGAGAAACAGAAAGAUGAUCAUUCAUUUGUCACACGUAAGCAGUUUACUUAUUCAGAAAAAAACCACUGUGUUUUGGCAACAGUUAUCAGCUUCCGGUUCAGAGGAGAGGAGGAGGUUAACAUCUGCACACAGAGCUUAAUAUAUCAAGACAAAACAAGAGGGAAGAGAGAGGAAAAACCUAUGAAAUAUCCCAUCCUGCCGCAGGGCGCUCAGGUGGAACCAAACCAGCUCUUCUGCACAGGAAACACGGAUGUGUUCAGAGAUCACCACAUCACCAUCACACUGCUCUGAUAUAACAUGUGACAUGGCAAACCUCUUCCAGAAGACUUUUUUUCCUACCCUCAUUAUUUCUUGCUACUUUUUUUCAGGGUGUCCAGAUACCUGGGCUGGGAAUAUUCCCAUUUGCCCGAAUCAAGUUAGAUCUCAGCGGCAACAAAUUCCUUGUAACACAAAAACCCGUGUUUCUCCUUUCUGAGAAACUUUGCCAGGCCUACGGGCUGAAACAAAGAGAAAAGCACACUGCUGGUAAGAAGACUGAUUACAGCCUCUGCCUUUCCUUGGACUUCAUUUUUAACACACCACAAUGAAAAUUAAUUUGGGCGGGGGGGGGGGGGGCGUGCCUGUAAGAACAGCUGUGUCUGAGAUGAGCAGAGCAUUCCUUCCAAAGAUUUUAACAACAGCUUAGACUCUGUCCAGACUCGAUGUCUUCACAGCCAGGGUUGGUUGUAUACUUUUUAAAAAUACUGUCCCAAGUCAGAACAUCUCUGUUUGAAAUGUUCUUCUCACUUCUGUUCCUGGAAUCUCAUCGCUCUGCUAUUAUCACAAUGCCUACAGUCUGCCAAAUCAUUUGUUAUGGGAUCAGCUUGAAACACAGCUGGCAAGAACAGUGGUUUCUAGAAGUACAGAUACAGUGGUAUCUGUUUGGAAAGAAAGCAGUUUUCUGCCAGUGCCACGGUGUUUGCAUUGCAACGAGGAGGGAUGGUGUAGAUCAGUGGCUCUCAACCCGUGUAGACAGAACGCACCCCUCUUCUCCUGGUCGAGCUCAUAGGAGUGAGCUAUAUUUCUACGUAUCUAAUGGUGUAUUGGGUAUCUUUGUAUCAAUCUAGCUGUGGUUUGAACAGUUUCAUUAUGAAAAAAACAGAUUGUACUCCUAAUUGAAAUUGAGAAUCUAGUGGAAGAACCACCAUGAAUGAACUCAUGUGAAGCACCAUCAAUAAUUCACUGAGAUCUGGGACAGCUUUUUUUUCUAACUGGGGCUGUUUUGGCAUUUGCUGGUGUGGAGCUCUGUGAUAAGUUCUGUGUAGCAGCUUUUCCAGGACAUUCCGUAGUUUCAACCUAUGCUCUAAAAAUACAUCCCUCUACACCCCAA